rnacentral:misc_RNA from 1 species
GUGAAUCAUCAAAUUUUUGAACGCAAAUUGCACUCUCUGGUAUUCCGGAGAGUAUGCCUGUUUGAGGGUAAGUUUAAAUAAAAAUCGGGGUGGUUGCUGCCUUUCGUGGUGACGCACGGGAUUUGGGUCGUCUGGCCUUGGGUUAAGGGACCUAAAAUUUGGCAGGAUUUUUUUCGAACGUAUUUAAUUGAUUUUACGUACGUUUGCGAUAUCGAAUACUGGGUGUGGUCAUCCUCAUGAUUGGCGCCUAUAAUUUUUCAUCAAAAUGACUUCAAAUCAGGUAGGAGUACCCGCGGAAC